GUGAGGAAUAUUGGUCAAUGGGCGGAAGCCUGAACCAGCCAUGCCGCGUGAAGGACUAAGGCCCUAUGGGUCGUAAACUUCUUUAGACGCAGAGCAAUAAGGGUCUCGUGAGAUCCGAUGAGAGUAUGCGUAGAAUAAGCAUCGGCUAACUCCGUGCCAGCAGCCGCGGUAAUACGGGGGAUGCGAGCGUUAUCCGGAUUUAUUGGGUUUAAAGGGUGCGUAGGCGGAAGUGCAAGUCAGCGGUGAAAUCCCCGCGCUCAACGCGGGAGUUGCCGUUGAUACUGUACAUCUGGAAUGCUCUUGCCGUGGGAGGAAUGAGUAGUGUAGCGGUGAAAUGCAUAGAUAUUACUCAGAACACCGAUUGCGAAGGCAUCUCACGAAGGGGCGAUUGACGCUGAGGCACGAAAGCGUGGGUAUCGAACAGGAUUAGAUACCCGAGUAGUCC
rnacentral:rRNA from 1 species